rfam:Ictidomys tridecemlineatus contig089728, whole genome shotgun sequence.
GCGUUUGUAGCUCAGUGGUAGAGCGCUCACCUCACAUGUGCAAGGCCCUGGGUUCGAUCCUCAGCACUACGUA